CGGUGCGCCGGCCGGCUGCGUCCUCCUGUGCCCUCCUGGGGGGUGUGAGAGAGCGGAGAGGAGAGUGCGUCCUGUCCUGUCCCGUCCUGCAAAAAAGCCGGUGGCCGGGCUCCCCGGCGCCGGCCCUCCGAUGCUUAAGUCAGAGGGGGCAAAUAUGUGGAGAGAGCAAGCCAGAGAGUGAAGAAGAUGAAGAGGAUAUUGUGCUUAAUUGUGUCUGUG
rnacentral:lncRNA from 1 species